AAAGGCGGCAAUGGAGGCGGGGUCCCACCUCUUCCCAUCCCGAACAGAGAAGUUAAGCCCGCCAUCGCCGAUGGUACUGCCCGUAAGGGCGGGAGAGUAGGCCGCCGCCGUCC
rnacentral:rRNA from 2 species